GACUCGUCACACUAUCAUUAACUGAAUCCAUAGGUUAAUGAGGCGAACCGGGGGAACUGAAACAUCUAAGUACCCCGAGGAAAAGAAAUCAACCGAGAUUCCCCCAGUAGCGGCGAGCGAACGGGGAGGAGCCCAGAGCCUGAAUCAGCAUGUGUGUUAGUGGAAGCGUCUGGAAAGGCGCGCGAUACAGGGUGACAGCCCCGUACACAAAAGCGCAUGUGCUGUGAGCUCGAUGAGUAGGGCGGGACACGUGGUAUCCUGUCUGAAUAUGGGGGGACCAUCCUCCAAGGCUAAAUACUCCUGACUGACCGAUAGUGAACCAGUACCGUGAGGGAAAGGCGAAAAGAACCCCGGCGAGGGGAGUGAAAAAGAACCUGAAACCGUGUACGUACAAGCAGUGGGAGCCCCACCACUAAGCCAGUGGUGAACUCCACAUACGCAUCCUUUGCUGAGGAUACGGUUAACGGAGCGAAAGCGACGUUCAACCUCAAAAGAAGCAGAGGGGGCUUAGUGGUGGGGUGACUGCGUACCUUUUGUAUAAUGGGUCAGCGACUUAUAUUCUGUAGCAAGGUUAACCGAAUAGGGGAGCCGAAGGGAAACCGAGUCUUAACCGGGCGUUAAGUUGCAGGGUAUAGACCCGAAACCCGGUGAUCUAGCCAUGGGCAGGUUGAAGGUUGGGUAACACUAACUGGAGGACCGAACCGACUAAUGUUGAAAAAUUAGCGGAUGACCUGUGGCUGGGGGUGAAAGGCCAAUCAAACCGGGAGAUAGCUGGUUCUCCCCGAAAGCUAUUUAGGUAGCGCCUCGUGAAUUCAUCUCCGGGGGUAGAGCACUGUUUCGGCUAGGGGGCCAUCCCGGCUUACCAACCCGAUGCAAACUGCGAAUACCGGAGAAUGUUAUCACGGGAGACACACGGCGGGUGCUAACGUCCGUCGUGAAGAGGGAAACAACCCAGACCGCCAGCUAAGGUCCCAAAGUCAUGGUUAAGUGGGAAACGAUGUGGGAAGGCCCAGACAGCCAGGAUGUUGGCUUAGAAGCAGCCAUCAUUUAAAGAAAGCGUAAUAGCUCACUGGUCGAGUCGGCCUGCGCGGAAGAUGUAACGGGGCUAAACCAUG
rnacentral:rRNA from 1 species